rnacentral:rRNA from 1 species
GAUGAACGCUAGCGGCAGGCUUAACACGUGCAAGUCGAGGGGUAGAAGGAGCUUGCUCCUUUGAGACCGGCGCACGGGUGCGUAACGCGUAUGCAAUCUACCUUUUGCAGAGGGAUAGCCCAGAGAAAUUUGGAUUAAUACCUCAUAGUAUGUGAGGAUGGCAUCAUUUUCACAUUAAAGUCACAACGGCAAAAGAUGAGCAUGCGUCCCAUUAGCUAGUUGGUAAGGUAACGGCUUACCAAGGCUACGAUGGGUAGGGGUCCUGAGAGGGAGAUCCCCCACACUGGUACUGAGACACGGACCAGACUCCUACGGGAGGCAGCAGUGGGGAAUUUUGGACAAUGGGCGCAAGCCUGAUCCAGCAAUGCCGCGUGCAGGAUGAAGGCC